CAGGGGGAAAACCAAAAUUCACAGCUGGGCUGCAAGUGCAGGUGAAGCAGGCACACAGCACUCGGCGUGGCAGCAUCACUACCAACUGCAACUUGCUGUGCAGAGGGGAAGGGAGGCAUCCAGAACAGCAGUGGCUGUGCAGAAAUGACACCAGAGCCAUCCCAGCCUGCACUCAGUCGCCUUUGACAGGAAGGAGUGCCACCAGCAAAGCCCAGAGAUGCCCAGGGUCCCCAUCCCUCUCCAGCAGCUGGCACAGCUCCA
rnacentral:lncRNA from 12 species